rnacentral:lncRNA from 1 species
AAAAAAAAAAACUCUUAAGUUCAAAAGGCCCUUUGAUAAUCAACAAAAAAACCACAAAAGGCCUGUUAUUGAACUCAAUUAAAGUACAAAAAUAUAUCUCUUCUUUUUGCAAUUUCUCUCGGAGAAAGAUCAAACCGACGCAACAAACCCCAUCAACAACUCUUGAAAUCAAGAUCCUCUUCUUCGAAUCGCGCAACGCAACAAGAUCUCUCUUAGGAGCCAAGAUUUCUCCUAUUCCAGGCCACAAAUCGCGCCGAUAACAAGCCGAAACACCUCCUUGGAUCGAUCUAUCGCCCCGAUUCUUCGAUCAGGUGAAAUUUCAGCCGGGGAGCGGAUCGGAACGGCGGAAACGUUAGAAACCCCGAUCUUGAAAGGCGAUCGGUGAAAAAGAGCACGAAAGUAUGCGUCUCAAUGAAGAGACAUUGAAUCUCCGGGUAAGCCCUCGCUCUCUCUUCUUGGCCGCCUUCUUCUUCCUGCUGCUUGGAAGCUUUUUCAAGGGUUUCUUGCCUUUUUCUUGAUUCUGAUAAUCUUGCCCUCUUUUCGCUUCGAUGAAUAGACAAUGCAUUUGAGGGAUGUGUUUAUAUAGAGGUCCGUUAAGGAUGGGCCGCGCCGACCUUGGCCUCCACGCUUCCAGCCCAAC